UACAGAGGGUGCGAGCGUUAAUCGGAAUUACUGGGCGUAAAGCGUGCGUAGACGGCUAUCUAAGUCGGGUGUGAAAGCCCCGGGCUCAACCUGGGAAUUGCAUUCGAGACUGAAUAGCUAGGGUGCGGUAGAGGGAAGCGGAAUUUCCGGUGUAGCGGUGAAAUGCGUAGAUAUCAGGAGGAACACCAACGGCGAAGGCAGCUCGCUGGGACGGUACCGACGCUGAGGAACGAAAGCUAGGGGAGCAAACGGG
rnacentral:rRNA from 1 species